AAGCAAAGGCUCCUCUGAUUCCUCUCUCUCUCUCUCUCUCUCUCUCUGCAAUUAGACUUGGAAUCUGGUCAUUCUUUUCUUGCAUUUUGUUCAUCAGGUGAUGCUUCAUUUCUCAUCUAAUUCAACAUGAUGAUGGUCUAUUAGUAGGAGGCAUUGGGGCUGGGCCCAAGAUCAAGGAGGUGGACUAAGGUCUUUUGAAGCUUCAUAAGAAGAACAGAGCAUGCUUGAUCGAUGGGAUUGUUUUACGUAGCAUUUUGAACCAGCUCAGCCCUGGCUCUGUACUCGAGUUGAGGUGGUUCAUUUGUUUCUUCUGGGCAAUGCUGGAGAAUGUCUAAAAGUUUCUUUCAGCUGUCAAUGAAAUGGGGUUACUGAGAUUUGAAGCAUCAGACCUAGAGCAAUAAUGUGGACUCUAGGGCCGGUUGUCUUCAUUUCAUGGACUAGAAAGGGGCUCAUGGAGCUAUAAGAAGGAUCCAACUCAAGUGACAAGGGUCGUGUGGUGGAGGUAUGAGUGGCUACA